CGAAGAAUAGUUUAGUUGAGAAUCCUGGCUUUGGGAGUCAGGGGUGGGGGUUAAAAUCCCCCUUCUUCGA
rnacentral:tRNA from 1 species